GCCUAACCUGCUAAGCUGGUUCUGCUACUUACAAAGCUGUGUGAUAGUGGCUGGUUAUUUGAACUUUCUGUGCCUCCAUUUCCUAAAGUGAGAACACUGAUAAUGAUAAUAAUAGCAACAACAAUAAUGCUUAUGUCAUAGGGUAUUAUCAGGAUUAAAUAGAACAGCAUAGUGAAAGCUCUAAACACAGUGUCAAGCACAGAGCACUCAAAUGUUAAUAAUGAUAAUGUAUGGCAGUUCCAAACUUGCUUCGUAGGGGUUAAUAUCCAAGGGUUAGUAACAAUGUUCUCCUCCCUCACCCCACACCAUAUUUUGCUUCAUGAUAGUAAUUACAGUGUGAAAUUUCCCUGCAAGUGAAAAUAGAUUCCUUGGGUAGAAGCCUAAACCCUGCACAUGCCUAAAACUCUGUUACGAAAUACCUAAUCUGAAAAUGAGCUGGCACAGCCCCAAGCUCCACCCCCAGGCUGUACUCUGAACCACUUUUCUCCCUGGGAAGGACACACAACUGAGGGGGAAAGAGAGAGCAGAAGAGAGAGAUCAAAAAAUGCAAUUUAGGGUAAACAAGUACUUGACUUCUUGUUUUGCUUAAAAGAGGGGAAAAACACCCCUGAGAAGAAUCAUAUUUAAGACAAAUUUUUGGAGAUAAAGAGCAGCCUGAGCUUUACAACCCAGAGUUGCCUUAUUCAUGCCUCUUCCUUUAAACUCAAAUCAGGGUUUGGUGACCUGUGAUUUUUGUGCCAGAGAUGACACAUGCGCCUGUUGGAAUUGGCACCUGGCCUGGCUGCAACAGACUUGUCCUGCUCCACAACCUGCAAAUGACUCCACAGCUGGAAGAAUUUGAAGCCCAGCUCAUUUUUGUUUUGCUUUUCCUUUCUAGACUUACAUAUUAAAC
rnacentral:lncRNA from 1 species